rnacentral:rRNA from 1 species
AACGAUCCUAUUGGGUAGCAAUAUUCGGUAGUGGGAGUGGCGCAGGGUGCGUAACACGUGGGUAAUUUGCCGUAAAGUCUGGGAUAACUUGCUGAAAGGCGAGCUAAUACCGGAUGUGAUUGCUGGAGGGCAUCCUCUGGCACUUAAAGUCGGGGACCGUAAGGCCUGACACUUUUCGAUAAGCCCGCGGCCUAUCAGCUAGUUGGUGAGGUAACGGCUCACCAAGGCUAAGACGGGUAGCUGGUCUGAGAGGACGACCAGCCUCACUGGAACUGAGACACGGUCCAGACACCUACGGGUGGCAGCAGUCGAGAAUUUUUCUCAAUGGGGGAAACCCUGAAGGAGCGACGCCGCGUGGGGGAUGAAUGGCUUCGGCCCGUAAACCCCUGUCAUUUGCGAUCAAACCUUACGACCUAACACGUCGUAAGCUGAUAGUAGCGGAAGAGGAAGGGACGGCUAACUCAGUGCCAGCAGCCGCGGUAAUACAGAGGUCCCAAGCGUUGUUCGGAUUCACUGGGCGUAAAGGGUGCGUAGGCGGUCGGGUAAGUCUGACGUGAAAUCUUCAAGCUCAACUUGGAAACUGCGUCGGAUACUAUUCGGCUAGAGGAAUGG